rnacentral:rRNA from 1 species
GACGGAGGGUGCAAGCGUUGCUCGGAAUCACUGGGCGUAAAGGGUGCGUAGGCGGUCUCGCAAGUCUGGCGUGAAAGCCCAAGGCUCAGCCUUGGAAGUGCGCUCGAAACGGCGAGGCUGGAGUGCCGGAGGGGAGAGUGGAAUUCUCGGUGUAGCAGUGAAAUGCGUAGAUAUCGAGAGGAACACCAGUGGCGAAGGCGAGUCCCUGGACAACACCUGACACUGAGGCACGAAAGCUAGGGGAGCAAACAGG